ensembl:snRNA U2 U2 spliceosomal RNA
GCCGCUUCGCUGCCUUUUGGCUACGAUCAAGUGUAGUAUCUGUUCUUAUCAGUUUAAUAUCUGAUACGUCCCCUACCCGGGGACCAUAUAUUAAAUUGAUUUUUGGACUUGGGAGAUGGAACAGGGGCUUGCUCCGACCCGGUAUUGCAGUACCUCCGGGAACGGUCCUCCUCUC